GUCGUAACAAGGUUUCCGUAGGUGAACCUGCGGAAGGAUCAUUCGCACGUAUCCAAACGAACCACUGUGAAUUAUUGGUGUGAGGUUUUGCGCGCAGAUGGAAAUUGCAUCAAUACCUGCGUGUAAAAGCUCGAGGGCGACAGGGGUGGGAUGGGCGCUUGCCGCCUCCUUUCUGCUUCUGCCGCCAUUUAUCUUGCGCUCCUCUGGGCUUUUGCUUUCCUAUUCAUUGGUAAGGUGUUCGUCACCUUUCUUAUUACAACUUUCAGCGAUGGAUGUCUCGGCUCGAACAACGAUGAAGGGCGCAGCGAAGUGUGAUAAGCGCUGUGAAUUGCAGAAUUCCGUGAAUCAGCAGAAACCUGAACGCAUUCUGUGCUUUCGGGAUAUCCCUGAAAGCAUGCCUGCUUCAGUGUCUAUUUCCAUUGCUGCCAGUGGCUCUGUGGCUUGUCCGCAUCCAGCUGCUUGGGCGUGGUUGUGCGUCAAGAGCCCUGUGCUCCUGACGCAUUCAAAUGAUGAGCACAACUCGUGCCUCACAACUGACAAAGUGUCCUUGGCGCUUCAGUUUGUUGUGACUCGGGCUUGUCGCUCUGGCCAUUGGUGCGCUUGUCGCACCAACACCUUUCCAAGACAUGAAGUCAGGUCGGCAAACCCGCUGAAUUUAAGCAUAUAAGUAAGCGGAGGAUAAGAAACUAAAUAGGAUUCCCUCAGUAAUGGCGAAUGAACAGGGAACAGCUCAGCUUGGAAAUCGGGGCCUCUGGCCUUGAAUUGUAGUCUGUAGGUGCGUUGCCGACGGAGGCGCAGGUGUAAGCCUCUUGGAAAAGAGCAUCAAAGAGGGUGAGAGUCCCGUUUGUCACUUGCAGUCCACCGUGCACGGCGCGCAUUCUGAGAGUCGCGUUCCUCGGGAUUGGAGCGUAAAGUGGGUGGUAAAUUUCAUCUAAAGCUAAAUAUAGGUUCGAGACCGAUAGCAAACAAGUACCAUGAGGGAAAGAUGAAAAGGACUUUGAAAAGAGAGUUAAAAGUGCCUGAAAUUGCUGAGAGGAAAGCGAAUGGAGCCAGUCAGUCUUGGCAAGAUUGUCGCACGCUAAGGUGAGUGCUUGCCGCUUCAGCGAAAGCGCGGUGGUAAGUUUUGAUCUGGACGUGUGCGGUGCUUCUUGCCUUGCGAGUCACCUACGGUUCACGGUUGAAGAAAACGCUGGGGACAUGGUAGCUUGGUUCCGACUGAGUGAACGUGCCUGGUGGGAUUCACCUGUGUACCGCUUGGUGACUAAAUGGUUCCUUUCGACCCGUCUUGAAACACGGACCAAGGAGUCUAACAUAUGUGCAAGUUCACGGGUGGGUAAACCUGCCAGCGCAAUGAAAGUGACUGCUGGGAUCUUUGCACCAGCAACCGACCAAUCAAUUGAGAGAGGUUUGAGUAUGAGCACAUCUGUUAGGACCCGAAAGAUGGUGAACUAUGCGUGA
rnacentral:rRNA from 1 species